rnacentral:rRNA from 1 species
GGAAUCUUGCACAAUGGGCGAAAGCCUGAUGCAGCAACGCCGCGUGCGGGAUGAAGGCCCUAGGGUUGUAAACCGCUUUCAGUAGGGAAGAAAAUGACGGUACCUACAGAAGAAAGUGCGGCACACUACGUGCCAGCAGCCGCGGUGACACGUAUGCACCAAGCGUUAUCCGGAUUUAUUGGGCGUAAAGAGCUCGUAGGCGGUUCGGUAAGUCGGGUGUGAAAACUCUGGGCUCAACCCAGAGAGGCCACCCGAUACUGCUGUGACUAGAGUGCGGUAGGGGAGCGGGGAAUUCAUGGUGUAGCGGUGAAAUGCGCAGAUAUCAUGAGGAACACCAGUGGCGAAGGCGCCGCUCUGGGCCGUAACUGACGCUGAGGAGCGAAAGCAUGGGUAGCAAAC